UUGUUUUGUUUUACCUGCGGGCGUGCACUCGGUGCAAGGCGGAAUUUUUUAAUUGUAUGAAAGCUAUGCUAGUUCAAAGAGCGCAUCAAAGUUGUCUUUGAAGUGACUUUUUCGGGUCACUAAUUCAUUUGUCACCGAGCGACCUUUAAAUCCCGAAAGCUCACGAAAUGGCAACAGUCGUCGUUCUCGGCGGUGGAAUCAGUGGCCUCACCACGGCAUACUACCUUUCCACUCUUGGGAAGGAAGCCGUGAAAAAAAUCUUGCUCAUAGAAAGGACUGCGCGCCUGGGUGGCUGGAUUCGAUCCACUGCACUACCUGAUGGGACAGUAUAUGAACAUGGGCCUAGUUCAUUGCGUGCUGGUGGUAAAUCUGGACGAAACGCCUUACAGUUGGCUCAGGACCUGGGAUUGUCGGAGCAUGUGCUGGCAGUGCCUCUCUCCUCACCAGCAGG